UACGAAGGGGGCUAGCGUUGCUCGGAAUCACUGGGCGUAAAGGGUGCGUAGGCGGGUCUUUUAAGUCAGGGGUGAAAUCCUGGAGCUCAACUCCAGAACUGCCUUUGAUACUGAAAGUCUUGAGUAUGGGAGAGGUGAGUGGAACUGCGAGUGUAGAGGUGAAAUUCGUAGAUAUUCGCAAGAACACCAGUGGCGAAGGCGGCUCACUGGCCCAUAACUGACGCUGAGGCACGAAAGCGUGGGGGAGCAAACAGG
rnacentral:rRNA from 1 species